rnacentral:lncRNA from 1 species
UUUUUACAAAAAAUCUACAAAUAAACUAAAAAUCAGUUUAAGUAAGUAUAAAAUAAUAUUAUUUUAAGGGUAUCUAUAAAUUACUACAUUUAUACUACGGAAAAGAGUCAGAACUGCCCCUAACGUAUUGACGCCAGUUUAAAUAUGCUCUCCGUUAAACUAUUUUUGAAAAAAAUACCCCUACCGUUAAAAUUCUGGCAUAUUUGUG